CUUCAGGCUUUGUUUUUGUCCUUGCUGUCCAAGAAAACCAACACACAAACUUGAAGAGAAUGCGUACCCUGGCCCCCCUUUGGAGACGCAUGAAGAGAUCUGCAAAAAAGAAAAUCCUGUGAAGUGCACAUAAUCUCUGAAAUGAAGGAAAUACGGAAGUAUCUCCAAUUCAUCUCGGUCACUGCUGGUGGGAUGGUGUCUCCACCUUUCUACAUUAAAAGGGUAAUUUUCUUAACUACUGCAAAUUGCUCUGAAAUCUAUUCUGACCCUCCAAAGAGGCAACAACAUUUUAUAACUUGGCAAUAAAAUCUGAAGGAUACAUCGUGAAACUGUCAAGUGCCUCUAGUCACAGCCACCUGAAAACUGCAGUGAAAAUUCUUGUGGGUAAAAAAAGAAAGUUUGAAAUUGGUUUCCAGGCCUCUGGAACAGAGGAGAGGGCGGGGCCUCCAGCUGCUGCCUCUCUGAGGACACACAGACACUUGGACGCAUGGACCCGGCACACCCAUCCACUCAAAGUGCAGCAGAAGGCCACGCCGCCACCGCCGCCUGCACUGUGGGGAGAAGGGACUGAACCUGUAGCCACAGGCCCGCGGUAUCUUACCUUCUAACCGCCCAAGCACUUCCUUCCUCGUUUGCCCAAUCUUAGAAUGGAAGCGCUUCCUGUCACCCAGGCAGUUCUUGUAGCCUGAAGCCGCUUGCUUUCCUUCCCACCCUCUUUUCUCUGCACUGCUCCCAAAGUGCUUCUGCACAGGACCCCUCCCUCUGGCCAAACCGGUUUAACCCAUUUUUCAACCCCUAGUUCUUCUUCCCCAACAAAAUUUCAACCAGAAUUGGUAAUAUGGGAAUUUCCCUACCAAUUCUCAAGCAAAUGGUCCAGCCAAGCAAAUACACCUUACAGUCCAUUCAGUGCCUGGUAGUUGUCCUGUGCCAACUCCCUUCAUUAACAGGUCAUCAUUGCUUACACCUUCCAGCCUUGGCCACCCAUUGUUUACUAGUUCCUUGUGCAUUCACUCGAUUUAUCCAUCCAGCCAUUCGUUAAAUAUUUACUGAGUGCACCUCUCCAGCAAAGUGCUGGGCACACAGCACACAGCAGAGGAUAAAGACAUGUGCUCUUGGCCCUGGGGAAGCUUACAGUUGAAUUCUCUUGCCAAUGAGUGCUCAUUCUGCUUUUUCAUCGCCUUCAUCGCUCUGAGAGCCCCAAGGCCAUGUGCCCAUGCAGAAGUGCCCACUAACAAACAGGAACCAGUCUGGUGUUUUCCUGACUCUGUGCAGUAAAUUGGGCUGUCUGGUGAAUUUCCUUCCUUAGGAUAUAGUCAUCUGUGUUCAACACAGACCUACUUUCUGAUCAGUUAUAGGGAAACAGUCUAUUUGCACUCAUUUUCUGCUUCUUUCUUGAGAUAUAAUUACUUUCA